AAACAUCUCAUCCACCAUGAAGGCUGUGUGUCUCCUUCUCCUCGUCUCUGUCCUGCUCGUCGGAGCAGCCUUUGUCGCCGAUGUAGCCGAAGCGCAGAUAUGUAGCGGAUCCUGCUCUAGCAACGGCGACUUCAUACUCCCGGAAGCUUUGAGGGUCAUUGCGCAUGUCCCUGAUUACUGGACAUGAAAGAAAGCAGACUUUGUGCUUCGGUUCGGUUCUCUCUGCUGAAAGACAUGUUGGAUAUGUUUUCAUUGCUAAUAAAAUGUUUACCGAAUUGACAACUGUUGCGUCUUGAAAACUAAGUAUAGCGUUUAAAAUGAAAAGUUCAAAUCACAUCAAGCAUAUGUGCUUAAAGUCACUUUGUAUUCACAUCAUGAAUACAUAUAUCAAAAUAUUUUCAGAUGUAGUCAUUGUGUUAUAAAAUGGAGUUCAUAUGGAUUGUUCAAAGUCACAAUGUGUGAAGCCCUUUUCUGGUGUCCCCCGCCGUGAUGAUGCUAGAUUAUUGCUAAAAAGCGCCGUAAAAAACAAAACAUACUCACUCACUCACUCACUCAGAGUCACAAUGUGA